UAUCAGACCCUCCGCGGUCGGCGGCUCCGCCUUUUCUUCUCCAAUCUCCACCUCUCCCUUCCAUUGCCCGAUCUAAUGCCCAACUGCCCAAGAUUUGCAGAGAUUCUUGGCUUCUUGCAGAGUUGCAGACUGGAGUGACCGAGUGAAUGAGUGAUUGGCUGAUUGCCUGGGUUUCUGGAAGAGUUCUAGGCUUCUGGCCCUCCAUCACUCCAUAGCUCCAUGAAUUAUAAUAUGAGGCUGAACUGUAGAAAGAAGGGGAUCCUGGACAACUAAUUAGCCUAGACAG